rnacentral:rRNA from 1 species
GCAUAUCAAUAGCGGAGGAAAAGAAACCAACAGGGAUUGCCCCAGUAACGGCGAGUGAAGCGGCAAGAGCUCAAAUUUGAAAGCUGGCCCCCUCGGGGUCCGCAUUGUAAUUUGCAGAGGAUGCUUCGGGAGUGGCCCCCAUCUAAGUGCUCUGGAACGGGCCGUCAUAGAGGGUGAGAAUCCCGUAUGGGAUGGGGUGUCCGCGACCAUGUGAAGCUCCUUCAACGAGUCGAGUUGUUUGGGAAUGCAGCUCUAAAUGGGUGGUAAAUUUCAUCUAAAGCUAAAUAUUGGCCGGAGACCGAUAGCGCACAAGUAGAGUGAUCGAAAGAUGAAAAGCACUUUGAAAAGAGAGUUAAAAAGCACGUGAAAUUGUUGAAAGGGAAGCGCUUGCGACCAGACUCGCCUGCGGGGUUCAGCCGGUAUUCGUACCGGUGUACUUCCCCGUGGGCGGGCCAGCGUCGGUUUGGGCGGCCGGUCAAAGGCCCUCGGAAUGUAACGCCUCUCGGGGCGUCUUAUAGCCGAGGGUGCCAUGCGGCCAGCCCGGACCGAGGAACGCGCUUCGGCACGGACGCUGGCAUAAUGGUCGUAAGCGACCCGUCUUGAAACACGGACCAAGGAGUCUAACAUCUACGCGAGUGUUCGGGUGUCAAACCCGUGCGCGCAGUGAAAGCGAACGGAGGUGGGAACCCUCACGGGUGCACCAUCGACCGAUCCUGAUGUCUUCGGAUGGAUUUGAGUAAGAGCGUAGCUGUUGGGACCCGAAAGAUGGUGAACUAUGCCUGAAUAGGGCGAAGCCAGAGGAAACUCUGGUGGAGGCUCGCAGCGGUUCUGACGUGCAAAUCGAUCGUCAAAUUUGGGUAUAGGGGCGAAAGACUAAUCGACCAUCUAGUAGCUGGUUCCUGCCGAA